CAGUUGGAAACGACUGCUAAUACCGCAUAAGCGCACAGCUUCGCAUGAAGCAGUGUGAAAAACUACCGGUGGUACAAGAUGGACCCGCGUCUGAUUAGCUGGUUGGUGAGGUAACGGCCCACCAAGGCGACGAUCAGUAGCCGGCCUGAGAGGGUGAACGGCCACAUUGGGACUGAGACACGGCCCAAACUCCUACGGGAGGCAGCAUG
rnacentral:rRNA from 1 species